AAAAAAGAAAACUCAGCCUCAGCUAGGAAUUAGAAACAUCAUUUGUCCUCUUGGGCUGUUCGGUUGGUGACUGUAGUCCCAGACGUCUAUGGAUUCCUGCAGGUCACCUCUCCUUUUCCUGCUGCCAUGCCUCCUCCUCCCCUUGGUCACUACCACACCACUGAAAAUGAGGGGGUCUUGGCGGUGCAAAGCUACACUUCUAGCCACGAUUUUGUGGGGACUGGCUGGGAUGAAAAAUUUCAUGAAAAAGGGAAACUUGGGACUCCGGAGGACCAAGGUGGAGCGAGACGGUCAAUACUGAUGGACUUGCAGCUAGCACCAUGGCAGCCCUGCCUGGUCUAGGGAAGCUGGCAGGAGGCGAUGGUACCUGGCGGGGGCAGACUGCCCACCUACCACUCCUUCAGAGGACUGUUUCCUGCCCUUCGCACCAUCAUCAUGUUGGGCCCUGCAUGUAUGUCCCUGCACUUGGAGCGAGCCCAGGGACACAGGGCGGACACAGGGCAGACACUGGGCCUGCAGAUGUUGCUGCAGCUGAGCCAGAAAACAUUCCAGGCCGGAAAAGCAGGCGCACACAUUCACAGGCCUCUGGGCACUCCACCAGCCAGAACGAGACUGACUCCUUGACCUGAGAAGUCAAGUCUCAGCGGAAAGGGCUGGAAAUCACACAUGGUCAACUUCUCGGCUCUCUCCGCUCCCCAAACCCUGGCCCUAGGCUUGCUUUAUCAUUGCAUCCCAAGGCCAGAGGGCUGCCGCUGUCCCCAACUUGGCCCUGCCAGAAGAGGGAUGGGGUGGCUGGCAUGAUGGGUGAGGGGAACAUGAGAAUGUGCAGAGGCCUUGGAGGAAAAGGACUGGCAGUUAUGACAGGAAGGCUGUCUAUACCUGGCUCC
rnacentral:lncRNA from 1 species